CCACCUCAAGGCUCGGAAAAGAGUGGGUUAUGAUUAUGUUGAAGCGUGAUUAAAAAUGGACAGUCCACACACGUUUAGGGUGUUUCGCCGUGUGAUUUAAAUCAGGCCAACUCGUACCUUACAGAUUAACAGUUUUGCCCCAGUUAAGUUUUUAAAAAGCACUUAAAGUUACCAAGAAGACAACAGUAUCAAUAGAAGAGCUUGAGAAAUAUGAGGCAUAAUUUGUGAAGAAAACAGAGCAAAAUCAGAUUCUCUGUCUUACCACAGGAGGGCAGAAAUCGCUUGAGGACUGGAGAGACUGCAUGCAUAUUGAUAAUUCUGCAGCUGACAUUACUGUAGAUCCGAUCUGCUGAGUCCUCAGUCACCACAGUAAACAGGUGAAGGUGUAUAAAUGUUUGAAUAUGAUGCCUGUGUCUAUGUAAAGAUGUGUGAGUAUGAUGUUGCCAGGCCUUUGUCUGGUGCCAGUGAAUGAAAGGCAUCCUGUGAUGGAAAAAUAAAACACUGUCCCAGGCCUCAUGUACCAAAA